CGUUUAGGUUAUAAAGAUUCCCACUUUCAUGCAGAUCCCCAUUUUAGUCACUUUAGCCUAGUAUAGCCGCUGCUGCUGCUGCCAUCUUUUUGUUCAUCUGUGCAGCCACUGAACACAUCUGUUCAUAAAAGGUUGGUUGGUAGAAAAUGGUGGCGAUGUCUCAGCUUCGUUGUUCUCCUCUUACGGGUUACUAUCAUAGUCAUAAUCAAAGUCGUGAUCUUUCUGGUGUUUCAGCCAGAUUUUGUGAUAAUAGGGUCUGUUUUAAUCCUUUGAAAACUGGGGAUGUUGUGUUUAAACAAUUGGAUCAUCUGAAGUAUCAAGUUCCUUGUGUUGGUGUUGGUGGAGGUGAUGGAGGAAGUGGUGGGAUUGGAAGGGGUAGUGGGGGUGGUGGGGGUGAUUGGAGUAAAGGUGGAGAUUCAGAUGAUUCAAAGUCUUCUUGGGAUGGGAUUGGACCAAUUGGUGCUUUUGUUAAUGGAUGGAGAUCAAGGGUGGCUGCAGAUCCACAGUUUCCUUUUAAGGUUCUUAUGGAGGAAUUGGUUGGUGUAAGUGCUAAUGUUCUUGGAGAUAUGGCAUCAAGGCCUAAUUUUGGGCUUAAUGAAUUAGAUUUUGUGUUUUCGACACUUGUUGUUGGUUCGAUUAUGAAUUUUGUGUUGAUGUAUCUGUUGGCACCAACGGCAUCUGCUUCGAUCCAAACUCUUCCUUUGAUGUUCGCCAAUUGUCCACCGAGCCACAUGUUUCAGUCUGGUUCUUAUGGUUUAUUGAGUAGGCUUGGUACAUUUGUGUACAAAGGAACUCAGUUUGCUGCAGUUGGAUUUGCAGCAGGGCUUGUUGGGACUGCAUUAUCUAAUGGUUUAAUCAAGUUGAGGAAGAAGAUGGAUCCGAAUUUCGAAACACCAAACAAGCCACCUCCUACACUUUUGAAUGCAGCAACAUGGGCAAUACAUAUGGGUAUCAGUAGUAAUUUAAGAUAUCAAACACUUAACGGUGUUGAGUUUGUGCUAGCUAAAGGUCUUCCUCCUUUGGUAUUUAAGACCUCGGUUAUUGCUUUGAGAUGCGCGAAUAACAUUCUUGGGGGAAUGACAUUUGUCAUGUUAGCAAAGCUCACAGGAUCACAGAAAGCAGAUAAACCAGAUGAAGGAAAGGUUGUUUGCGUUGAAGACACACUAGUUGGAGAGAAAGAAAGGUUGCUGGACCAGAAUGACAGUAUACAUACCGCUGAUGCUGCUUCAAAGUGAUUAUCAAUAUUUGUUUCAAAUACACACCAAUCCAAAACCGGCUCCCUCUCUCCCUCCCGGUAGAGACAUUUACCCGCUAUUCUCUUACUAUGAUCUAUAAAUAAAAAUGAACUUUGCUGUCGUUUUAGUCCAAGAGAUAGUCUUUCUGACUUCUUGUAGGAGCUUGGAGUGUGUCAGCCAUGUCUAACAAAACAGGAGUUUGCUCAUAUUGAUUCGCGGAUUUGUUUCUGUUCCUUUGUGUGGUUUACGAUGACAUGUUAUGUGAUCUAGCGAUAACAUUACUUCAAAACUAACGAGUUUUCCCUGUUUUGUUGUACUAUCAUGGUAGCCAUAGCUUAGAUAACAUUUCUAUUUCUGGUAAUGAUGUUGGAUUGAUUACAACAGGGUUCAUCAUUUAUAAAGAUUUAAAAAAAAAUCGACCUUUUAUAUAUAGAGUGUGAUUUUCUG
rnacentral:misc_RNA from 1 species